rnacentral:rRNA from 1 species
UACAGGGGGUGCAAACGUUGCUCGGAAUCAUUGGGCGUAAAGCGCACGUAGGCGGCUUGGUAUGUCGGGUGUGAAAUCCCCGGGCUCAACCUGGGAACUGCAUCCGAAACUGCCUUGCUCGAGUAUGGGAGAGGGAAGUGGAAUUUCCGGUGUAGCGGUGAAAUGCGUAGAUAUCGGAAGGAACAUCAGUGGCGAAGGCGACUUCCUGGACCAAUACUGACGCUCAGGUGCGAAAGCGUGGGGAGCAAACAGG